CACACACGCAAUCGGAGCUCUGAAGUCUGCAGAUGCCUCCGGCCAGGUCUCGCAGUGGAAUACCAUUAGCACAAUAAUUCCUUCCAGCGGAGUACACAGCACAUGGGAAUACCACCCAAUACCGGCAGGGGUUUGAGCAAACACUACUCUUCUACUGCUGAUUAAGCGAGGGCUUCCCGAGUGCUGGGGUCACAGGUGCGCACCAUCCGAGUUACACCGGCAGUAUGGGAGAAGACAGACUUGUGGAGAGAAAAAGAAGAGUGGAGACUGGACACAGGAGCAUCAGGACAGAAAUGAAGGCUGCGGCUGCGAGCAGCGGCUCUGUCUGAGGGGGCUGCCACUUAUGCCCUUGGCUGCAGUUAACCAGCUGGUUCUCUGCUCAAGCGUGUGAAGAACGGGGCUUUGGUGAGGCGGUUUACACCCACGAUCCCUGUCGCUGCUGAGCUCUGCGCCUCUGGACAAGACACCAAACCAACGACCUGAAAGCACCAGGAGACUGUCCUGAACAGAGGGGGUCUUGCUGACCCUUCCCCCACCCCCACCGGAAGUUAUUUUGAGGCUAUAGGACAAAUGUUCCAUUUAGGCCACAUAAGUGGUUUUUUAAAAGGCGUAACAUUUAAAAACGAAUUGCGGGAUUAGCUCAGUGGUGGAGCCUUUGCCUAGCCUUUACAAGGCCCCAGGCUCCAUCACCAGCACAAUAAAAGCAAAACAAAAUGGGACAAAACAAAUGCCAUUCCUACUGGCUGAAGGACCUGGAAAAUGGCAGGUGACAAUCAUAAACAUACAUUCCAAAACUUCUAGAAGAAAAUGUAACAGCCUAUCUUUAUGAAAUUUCGAGAGGAAAAGGCAUUUUAAUUGUUUUUUUUUUU